rnacentral:rRNA from 1 species
CAUGCAAGUCGAGCGCACCGCAAGGUGAGCGGCGGACGGGUUAGUAACGCGUGGGAACGUACCCUUUUCUUCGGAAUAGCUUUGGGAAACUGAAGGUAAUACCGGAUACGCCCUUUUGGGGAAAGAUUUAUCGGAGAAGGAUCGGCCCGCGUCUGAUUAGAUAGUUGGUGGGGUAAUGGCCUACCAAGUCUACGAUCAGUAGCUGGUUUGAGAGGAUGAUCAGCAACACUGGGACUGAGACACGGCCCAAACUCCUACGGGAGGCAGCAGUGGGGAAUCUUAGACAAUGGGCGCAAGCCUGAUCUAGCCAUGCCGCGUGAGUGAUGAAGGCCUUAGGGUCGUAAAGCUUUUUUCGCUGGGAGAAAAAUAAUGACGGUACCCAGUAAAAGAAACCCCCGGCAUAACCUCCCGGGCCAGCAGCCGC